UUUUCUUUCUAUAAAUAACAAGAACAUACUUCUGUUUGUUUUCUUUCUUUUUCAUUCUUUUUUUUGGUGUGUAUGUGUACUGUGUGGACUCGUCAAUGUUUUUGCAUUGAAAAGUAAACAUGCGCCACGUCUUUUUCCAUUGGUGGUGAUAGAUAUUGUUUUAUUUAUAAAUUGAAAUUUUAAUUAUAAUUGGACAACACUAAGAUACAUGUUAACAAACCAAUUAAAAAAAAAAAACUGAAUCUUGCUGAAAUAAUAGCCCAAUAAUAGAUAGAUUUUAUUAUAUAUUUUAUGUCUUGAAUCAUAGUAAAUCAGGUUUAGAUAAACAAAAUCCUAUCAUUUAAACACUACAUAUGGCAUUUUCUCAAUUAUUGCAAGUUCCCUUAUCCUUUUUUCAAUCUAUAAAGUACGUAGAUUCAAAAUUCUUAAUUUGUUUUUCCUUGAUUCAAGAGAAAGAAAAAAGGAAAUAAGGGUUGUCAGAUUUUGAAUUUUGACCGCAUUAUGACACAGGUAUGCGCUAGAUUAUUGUACUAUUCACCUAAAUAGUGAAAGAGAGUGAGUUUAGUUGAGAGGAAAAAAAUAAAUAAGUUUGUCAUUUUCACAAUGAAAUUUUAAGAAUGUCUAGGGUAAGAUAUAACACUCAAACCAGGCAAUUCCAAUGUCAUUUAACUUCAACCGUUCAUCAUCUAGCAUAGACAUUUGUAAUAAUAUUCUUCAGAAUUAAGCAUGAUAUUGCAGAUUGAAAAGGGGAAAAUUUGAACAUAAAAUACUUUUCAAAAGGUUAGUAUGACUACUAAUUAGAUCUUAUCUCUGCCAUAUGUAUCUUCUAUACAUUCUUUGAGGUUCUUUUCAAUUAGUUUUCUGCUAGGUUAGUACCAUUCAAUUAUACAAACUCUUUUCAGAAACAAUCCUUCCAAUGGGGAUCAUUUUAUAUAUUACCAUUUAUAUUUUAAAGAACAAUGUGGUUCAAACUUUCAAGUGCCUGAACAGUACUUUCUCAAUUCAUAUUAUGAUGCUUGGGACUAACAAUCACAGAGUUCCUCAAGAUUUCCAAUAUCAUGCAACAGUGGUGUCACAAUUUUCUCAAUAGAAGUUACAAAAAUGUGCCCUCCCCUGUUAAUGGUACCCCAAGUGCAAUGAUACCAUUAUUUUGUAACCAUCCCUAAAACACAUGGCUAUUUUAUCCAAAAAGAAGAAAGAAACUGAAACCAGGCAGUGACUUUAAGCUUUCGUUGAGAACCCCAAAGAAAUGAAAGGAGAAAAGAAAGUUAAAGCAACAAUAAAGAGAGAGGAGAGGAAUUGACCCAUCUUCAGUGUGGCACCAAAUAAAACAAAGAGGAGAGAAACAAAAAAUAAAGGAGUAAUUCCAUAAAUGAAUCAAGAAAAAGAAUUAUUGGAAGGGUAAAAAAGAUGGAUAGUGUUGAAAAAUGCUAUGCGGCCAGUUGAUUUGAACUCCCAAAAUGGGUUAUAACUUUAUGUGUUUUUAGGUUUUUACUUCAGCUUCUGAAAAAGAAAGAGAAGAAAGAAAGAAGAAAGAGAUCUUUUGUUGUCAGAAAAUUAUUUCUGAGAAACAUAGAUGAACACAAAUGAACGUUUGUACUCGAAGAGCAGGAUACUUAGAGGGGGAUGACAUGCAUGGAAUCCUUGGAUGUACAGUUGGGGGCAAAAGUAUCCAUCAUUUUGUUCGAGGGACCUGACCAAUUAUCAUCUAUUAGUCCCCCAUGUUGAUAGGGCACAGAUAAAUUAUAUGUAUGGACAAGUUGUGCCAAAACAUCUUGUUCUUAAUUUGGAACAUACAUGCUUAUAUAGCACAAGGGGCCAAUCUACUAUAGUCCCCACCUUGGAAGGGUACUUUGUAAUUAUUCAACAUCAAUCAGGCAAUCUUAUAUCAUUUAUCUCAUCUAGAGAAACCAGCCAAUCAGCAAG
rnacentral:misc_RNA from 1 species